UCUAUCUAUCUAUCUAUCUAUCUAUCUAUCUAUCUAUCUAUCUAUCUAUCUAUCUAUCUGGUUGCCGAGGACGGCGUAACCAGCUUGGAGCGAGACGUGAGCGCCGAGGAUGAAGAAAUCAGUGUGGAGUGAGGAACCAGCGUGACCAAUGGAAGGAACCAGAGAAAAGUUGCCACAAGUGUCGUCCUGGGUCCUACCUCCAGACAAGCAAAUGCUUAAUCAAAGAUCCAAAGCCUCUAGCCACACCACGAGUCCGAGCCGCACCAGGAGUCCCAGCUGAGCCACGACUUCAAACCGUGCUAUGUCUCCAAGCCACGCCAUGACUGCAAGCCACGCAACGACUCAACUCUUGUCUUGUUCUCUUUUUCUCCCUUUUCAAGCUUUCUAUUUCUCCACCUCGUCUGCAGGACAAAAUGCAAUGAGUGUCAACCUGGGUCGUACUUUCACACAAGCAGACAAUGCUUCAUUAAAGAUCCAAAGCCUCCAGCCACACCAGGAGUCCAAGCUGCGUCAUGGCUCCAAGCCACACCACGACUCAACUCAAGUCUCAACUCCAAGCCACACCACGACUCUAAGUCGCACAACGACUCACCUCAAUUCUUGACUCCAAGCCACGCCUAUUAAACCUGAUAAGUUAUU